rnacentral:rRNA from 1 species
GACGAACGCUGGCGGCGUGCUUAACACAUGCAAGUCGAACGGAAAGGCCCUGCUUUUGUGGGGUGCUCGAGUGGCGAACGGGUGAGUAACACGUGAGUAACCUGCCCUUGACUUUGGGAUAACUUCAGGAAACUGGGGCUAAUACCGGAUAGGAGCUCCUGCUGCAUGGUGGGGGUUGGAAAGUUUCGGCGGUUGGGGAUGGACUCGCGGCUUAUCAGCUUGUUGGUGGGGUAGUGGCUUACCAAGGCUUUGACGGGUAGCCGGCCUGAGAGGGUGACCGGCCACAUUGGGACUGAGAUACGGCCCAGACUCCUACGGGAGGCAGCAGUGGGGAAUAUUGCACAAUGGGCGGAAGCCUGAUGCAGCAACGCCGCGUGCGGGAUGACGGCCUUCGGGUUGUAAACCGCUUUCGCCUGUGACGAAGCGUGAGUGACGGUAAUGGGUAAAGAAGCACCGGCUAACUACGUGCCAGCAGCCGCGGUGAUACGUAGGGUGCGAGCGUUGUCCGGAUUUAUUGGGCGUAAAGGGCUCGUAGGUGGUUGAUCGCGUCGGAAGUGUAAUCUUGGGGCUUAACCCUGAGCGUGCUUUCGAUACGGGUUGACUUGAGGAAGGUAGGGGAGAAUGGAAUUCCUGGUGGAGCGGUGGAAUGCGCAGAUAUCAGGAGGAACACCAGUGGCGAAGGCGGUUCUCUGGGCCUUUCCUGACGCUGAGGAGCGAAAGCGUGGGGAGCGAACAGGCUUAGAUACCCUGGUAGUCCACGCUGUAAACGGUGGGUACUAGGUGUGGGGUCCAUUCCACGGGUUCCGUGCCGUAGCUAACGCUUUAAGUACCCCGCCUGGGGAGUACGGCCGCAAGGCUAAAACUCAAAGGAAUUGACGGGGCCCCGCACAAGCGGCGGAGCAUGCGGAUUAAUUCGAUGCAACGCGUAGAACCUUACCUGGGUUUGACAUGGAUCGGGAGUGCUCAGAGAUGGGUGUGCCUCUUUUGGGGUCGGUUCACAGGUGGUGCAUGGCUGUCGUCAGCUCGUGUCGUGAGAUGUUGGGUUAAGUCCCGCAACGAGCGCAACCCUUGUUCACUGUUGCCAGCACGUUAUGGUGGGGACUCAGUGGAGACCGCCGGGGUCAACUCGGAGGAAGGUGGGGAUGACGUCAAGUCAUCAUGCCCCUUAUGUCCAGGGCUUCACGCAUGCUACAAUGGCUGGUACAGAGAGUGGCGAGCCUGUGAGGGUGAGCGAAUCUCGGAAAGCCGGUCUCAGUUCGGAUUGGAGUCUGCAACUCGACCUCAUGAAGUCGGAGUCGCUAGUAAUCGCAGAUCAGCAACGCUGCGGUGAAUAAGUUCCCGGGGCU